GUGAAGAACAACGGGUUUUUGGAAAAUGAUCUGUGAUUUUACGAGGUAAGUCCUCUGCUGAUGUCAAUCUUCUUCAUUAUCGACAGAAUUUAUGUUGAACUCUUGAUUGUAAUGGUCUUUUUCUUUCUUAUCUGGGGCAAAAAUCGGUACGAGAACUCUUAGUUCUUAUAAGAUUGUGUGAUCUGUUAAUCUAUUCUGCAGUUUGCCCCUCGUCAAAUCAUUAGUAAGUCGUACAAGGUGUCUCUAGAAUUCAACAUUAGUUUCCAUACUCUGGAAGAUUGAGUAGAGAAUCUUAAUUCAACCAAGAAACUAUAGUGGAGCAGAACAUGCAUACAACACCCUAUAUUUUCGAUGUUCCAGGUAAUGUAGCUAAACUAUGUGGCAAGGACAUUGUUGCCUAAAGGAGGCGUAGUAGACCCUUGCAAAUGAUAUCCCGGGAGUAUUGAGUCCUGGCAAUUGUGCAGCAGCUACUGGAGUGGCAGCUGAUCCUAGCCAAUUCUUGGUGUCACCAGGCUUAUCUAGACCAUUGGUGAAGAAAUCUUCUGCCUUGACCUCAAUUGGGUUCUUGCAGAACAGACAGCCCGUUUACGAAUACUGAGAUAUUAACAGACUAUAUUUAUGUUAAUGCUUAAGAAACCAAAAUAUAUUUUAUACUCAUAUGGCGAUAAUAACUAAAAUUCUUACAUCCAUUUUGAGGGUCAUCUGUGUGGCGAUGCAUUAAUCUUGGAGCUGCGUUGAAAUAGUUGACAUAUGCUCCAGAAAUAGUUACAGAUAGAAUGGUAAAGUAUGCAAAGAAUUGGUGAACUACCAUGUUUUGACAAUCUACUUAAAUGUGUAGUUUAUUGUGCAAUGAGCUUUUGCGUUUUUGUUUUGGGGACUUGUGAUGGCUCUUUCUAUGGGAAUGCUCCUUUAAUGUUUUUUGAUA